CUAAGAAUAUUCCGCAAUGGACGAAAGUCUGACGGAGCGACGCCGCGUGGAUGAAGAAGGCCGAAAGGUUGUAAAGUUCUUUUGUUGGGGAAGAAUAACCAUGGGAGGAAAUGCCCGUGGGAUGACAUGAACCGACGAAUAAGCCCCGGCUAACUACGUGCCAGCAGCCGCGGUAACACGUAGGGGGCAAGCGCUGUUCGGAAUUACUGGGCGUAAAGGGCAUGUAGGCGGCCUUGUAAGCUUGGCGUGAAAGUCCACGGCUUAACCGUGGGAUUGCGUUGAGAACUGCGAGGCUUGAGUGACGGAGAGGGAGCUAGAAUUCCUGGUGUAGGGGUGGAAUCUGUAGAGAUCAGGAAGAAUACCAAUGGCGAAGGCAAGCUCCUGGCCGAUGACUGACGCUGAGGUGCGAAAGUGUGGGGAUCAAACAG
rnacentral:rRNA from 1 species